GAUCAUGGCUCAGGACGAACGCUGGCGGCGUGCCUAAUACAUGCAAGUAGAACGCUGAAGGAGGAGCUUGCUUCUCUGGAUGAGUUGCGAACGGGUGAGUAACGCGUAGGUAACCUGCCUGGUAGCGGGGGAUAACUAUUGGAAACGAUAGCUAAUACCGCAUAAUAGUAGAUGUUGCAUGACAUUUGCUUAAAAGGUGCAAUUGCAUUACUACCAGAUGGACCUGCGGUUG
rnacentral:rRNA from 1 species